GCUCUAGGAUAUCAGUAAGGCAAGGAUAGAAGGAGUGAGAAGGGUUUGAGGCCUAACAGCAUGGCACACCACUCCAGUCCAGACUGGGAAUCUAUGGGAUUUUCUGCUCAAUCAAUAAGGACUCUUAAGUCCUUCCGGGUUAACAUCCAGGAAGAUUGUACUUCAAAAGGACUGUUUAACCACGGGAUACCUUACUUCUAUUCUCCCCGGUAUCAUCUGGAUCAAUGUACAAGGACAAAAUUGAGGCCGCCAUUUCGUUUCCAGUCUCAUGUGCACUUGAGUACGGCAGAAAAACUUUGUGGUAUCUGCCUAUACAGAUAAGAACUCUUGCACUGCUUUUGUAAAUAAUGUUGUUGAUGUGUGACUUUUUCCUUGUAUUUUGAAAUGCUAUGCCUCUGGUUAUUAUAUGUGAGAUUUCCUAUCAUGUAUUGAUGACAAUAUGUAUUCUUUACCACUUUCUUUUGGAAUAAUACUCACUUUUGCAUCUA